AUGCUGGGAAGGGGCUUGAGCCCAACUGCCUAUCGCUAUCGUCGGGCCGCCCGAGCGAAGGGAGCUGCUCGGCCGCGCUCGCCCGAGGGGGUCCGUCCGGCGGCAGGGAGACGCGGGCUCCUCCGSCUGCCUCGCGGGCAAACCCGCCGCCCGCGGCUGCUCCGAGCCCAGCACCGAGCCGCAGGCGGCUUCACCCUGCUGCUGCCGGCUGCUUCCUUUGGGGUUAUCGGCACCUUCCUUCCUUUUGCUUUCCUGCCUGCCUUCUUUCCUUCCUUCCUUCCUUCUUCUCCUUUCUUCUUCCCUUCCUUCCUUCCUUCUUCCUUUCCUUUUUCCUUCCUUCUUUACUUCCUUCCCUUUUCCUGUACUUUCUUUCCUUCCUUCUUUACUUCCUUCCCUUUUCUUGUCCUUUUUUCUUUCUUUCCUUCCUUCCUUCUUUCUUUCCCUUCCUUCCUUCUUUCCUUCCUUUCCUUCCUUCCCUUUUCCUGUCCUUUUUUCCUUUCCUUCCUUCUUUCCUUCCUUUUUCCCUUCUUUCUUCUUUCGUUUGUUCUUUCUUUCCUUCUUUCUUUCCCUUCCUUCCUUCUUUGCUUCCUUCCCUUUUCCUGUCCUUUUUUCCUUUCCUUCCUUCUUUCCUUCCUUUUUCCUUUCUUUCUUCUUUCAUUUGUUCUUUCUUUCCUUCCUUCUUUUCCUUUCUUCCUUCUUUCCUUGCUUCCUUCUUUCAUUCCUUUUCAUUCUUUCCUUGCUUCUUUCCCUUUUUUCUUUUCUUUUUCUUUUCUUCUUUCUUUUUUCCUUCUUUUUUCUUUCCUUCUUUCAUUCCUUUUCAUGCUUUCCUUCCUUCUUUCCCUUCUUUUCUCUUUUCUUUUUCUUUUCAUCUUUCUCUUUCCUUCUUUCUUUUUUCUUUCCUUCUUUCCUUCUUCCCUUUGUUCUUUUCUCCUUCCUUCUUUCCUUCCUUCUUUCCAUCCACCCUCCAGCACUCGCACGGCCGCAGCACCAGCGAGCCACGGCACGGGCUCAGCCCAGCGCAUGGAAACCAGCCCCGGCUCAUUUUUAAUAAACAUUAAGACGGAUGCAAAGCCCGUACAUAGCGAUUUACUUCCCCCCAGAGUCGUCGAAGAAUAUUUUAUUGCUAGUUUUGCUAAUUCUCCAGCUGUUCUGUUUCUCAGAACUAUCUUUGACUACUGA
rnacentral:lncRNA from 1 species